CACGUAGGGUGCGAGCGUUGUCCGGAAUUAUUGGGCGUAAAGAGCUUGUAGGCGGUUUGUCGCGUCUGCUGUGAAAUCUCAAGGCUCAACCUUGAGCUUGCAGUGGGUACGGGCAGACUAGAGUGUGGUAGGGGAGACUGGAAUUCCUGGUGUAGCGGUGAAAUGCGCAGAUAUCAGGAGGAACACCAGUGGCGAAGGCGAGUCUCUGGACGACUCCUGAACAGCUGAGGCACGAAAGCU
rnacentral:rRNA from 1 species